UACCGACAUGAGAAUUUGUUCAUUCAUGUGGUCAUUUUACAAGGAUCUGAUCAGACUGCUUGUAGCACCAAACAUGACUUUCAGAAGGUUGUAAAAAUGUUCAGACUUUGCUUUGAGGACAUCCGUUUACCUCAGUCGGCCCUCUUGUGGCCAAUCAUGCGAGGCCACCAAAAGACAGUAGCUCUGGUAAUGUGAUGUUUUAGAUCCCAGAAGACCGUCCUUCUGUUGAUCACAUGACUCACUCCCAUACAUCUUCUUCUGAUUGAUUAUGCAGGAGCAGCAUAGUCUGAAAUUAUGUUGUUCCCAUUCUUUUUUUUUUUUAAUUCAAAUCUCAUCUUAGAAUUUGUUUAUAACUUUAUUUAUGUUCAUGGUUUACAACAAACUGGUAAAUAAUUUACCUGACACCCCCCAGGACUGCAGUGAUUUAGUUUGUCCACUUAGUGGAUUUUGUUCUCAGUUCUUUCGUCUCAUCGGGUGACCCACUUUCACUUGAAGAAAAACAAGCAUCUGAAGGGCCGCAGACCAAAAUGGUUUAAUGGAGAAAAAAAAAUCUUCUGUAGCCAUGACAACAGUCUCUUGAGUGGAUUUCUUCCACCAGGCGAACUGCUGGAUCCAGAGCACUUAAGAUAGGCUCCGUGGAGCUUCCUGUGUGGGACGCCUUUGGAAUCUUCAGGCUGUGGCAAAAAACCUGGUGGUGUUUCCAUAUCAGUUUGGUCUGAGGGAGAUGGUUGCACCCCACUGCUCGGUGCCGCUGAGCUGGAAAGAUACCCCAGUCUGAGUGCUGAUGCGUACACAGGCUGUCACUGUAAAGAGGAACUUGUUCUCAAUCAACCUGCAUGUGUAAUAAAGAUUCAACAAUAAUUUUAGUCAUUGUUACUUGAAAAAAUGAUAAAUGCUUCAGAAAUGGGAUCUGACCUCUUACCUAAUUCUGAGAAACUUUAAACAUUUGCAAAAACAUUAUGGACCGAUGAUUUACAAGGACAAGAAAACAUGUUUUCCAUCUUCCAGUUUCACUUGCAAAACAUGUCCCGCCCACUUUGCAAAUUUUGCUGUUUUUUUUCUAUAAAAUCUCAUUUUCACUGCAGCAAUUUGCAUAUUUAUCUGCCAGUUGAAUGUCAUGAACUUGUUAGAUGCUGCAAAGUUUAAAAAAAAUCCUGAUACAUUUACUAAUAAACUCAAUUUCUUUGUUCAUUUACAAUCAGUCCACAAAAAGUUUAUUUUAGAGAUAGAAAGAUAAAAUGUGUUUCUACUUUGAGUUUGAAAAAACAUUUAUUGAAACAGUAAGAUGAGGAGGAACAGUCCUCCAUGACCCACCAAUAGAUGUAUUAACAAAGCAUAUGCCUAUUAUUCAUGUAGGAGCAAUAAAUAGUGAUGUUUUUUUAUUCAUUCUUUUAUUAUGCAUAAAAAAACACAAGUUUUUACCUCUUUUAAAACUUUUUUUCUUUAUUCACUUUUUUAUUUUAUGAUAGACCUUUAUAGAUUCAGGGCAGUUUGAUGUUUUUUUUCUUUUUCCAAAAAGAAAACUUGUACUUUUGUUGUUUUUAUCCAGUGGAUUUGCAUAGCAUCCACAAUUGUGUGAAUUUUAUAAAUCAUUUAAAGGAAACCUACUCUAAAAUAGAAACUCCUUUAGGUUUUGCUUGUAGUGUAAAGUAACCCCCACCCCUAAAAAAAAAAAAAAAAUCCUUUAAAAUGUUCUACUUGUGCAUAACCUCGUUCUAGCAGAGUCACUGCAAGAGCAGGAAUAAGAGAAAAUUCCACAAAGGUCCAGGUUGACAAAACCAAACAUACAGACAUAAGACUUUAAGUCUCUGCAGAGCUGAAAUACUAACAAACCCUGCAGAUGUGUGCCAAACCGCUGAGAGCAGAAUUGCUACAGGAGAUGCAUGUUGCAAAUACCAGUGCUGGCAGUCUUUAAAGUUAAUAACAUUUAAGAAUAUUGACAUUUAAAGAAAGUAACUUGAAUAGCUGAGAGGAUAAACUUUGUUGUUCAACAAGACUUUGCCAUGUUCGGAACUCAUGAAAACCUGCAUUAGGAAAUAGUUCUCCACAGGCAGCAGAUCUACUAAGAAUCCACUAACAAUCUGCAAACUCAAAAACAGAUUUAAAUCAGAGUAAAAGUCUUCAUGACACAGAAACUGUGAUGACACAGCAGUUAGGAGUAUUCUAGAAUGAGAGAAAAUAAACUGGAGAUUAAUAUUAUUAUUGAGAAUUUUCACAUUUAGAUUUGGAAUUU